AGGACGAACGCUGGCGGCGUGCUUAACACAUGCAAGUCGAACGGUGAAGAGGAGCUUGCUCCUUGGAUCAGUGGCGAACGGGUGAGUAACACGUGAGCAAUCUGCCCUUGACUCUGGGAUAACUGCGGGAAACUGUAGCUAAUACCGGAUAUUACCUUGGAAGGCAUCUUCUGGGGUGGAAAGAAUUUUGGUCAGGGAUGAGCUCGCGGCCUAUCAGCUAGUUGGUGAGGUAAUGGCUCACCAAGGCGACGACGGGUAGCCGGCCUGAGAGGGUGACCGGCCACACUGGAACUGAGACACGGUCCAGACUCCUACGGGAGGCAGCAGUGGGGAAUAUUGGACAAUGGGCGAAAGCCUGAUCCAGCCAUGCCGCGUGUGUGAAGAAGGUCUUCGGAUUGUAAAGCACUUUAAGUUGGGAGGAAGCGACUGGGUUUUCCUGGGAGUGACGGUACCUGCAGAAAAAGCACCGGCUAACUACGUGCCAGC
rnacentral:rRNA from 1 species